CAUGUAUACUUUUCUAAUUAUAAUGGGGUGGGGAUGAGAGUAAAGUAAAUAGUCUUUCACUCGGCCACACACCGGAAUUUACUUUGAGGAAAUUAAAGUGUUCAUAGCAAAUAAGUGUUUGAAUACUACAGCAUGGAAUAACAAAAUAGGACUUUGGUAUUGUUUUGUUGGAGUAGAGAAACCAAAGUAAAGAUGAAUAGGGACAGUUGGGGGCAUUGGAAUUUGAUAGUCAGAGGUGAAAUUCAUGGAUUUAUCAAAGACCAACAAAGGCGAAAGCAUUUGCCAAGGAUGUUUUCAUUGAUCAAGAACGAAAGUCAGGGGAUCGAAGACGAUUAGAUACCGUCGUAGUCUUGACCGUAAACGAUGCCGACUUGGGGGAGGUGCGAGAUGAGAAGCGCAUCACAACCAAAGGAGAAAUCAAAGUGUAUGGGUUCUGGGGGGAGUAUAGUCGCAAGGCCGAAACUUGAAGGAAUUGACGGAAGGGCACCACCAGGAGUGGAGCCUGCGGCUUAAUUUGACUCAACACGGGAAAACUUACCAGGUCCGGACACGAUGAGGAUUGACAGAUUGAGAGCACUUUUAAGAUUUCAUGGGAGGUGGUGCAUGGCCGUUCUUAGUUGGUGGAGUGAUUUGUCAGGUUAAUUCCGAUAACGAGCGAGACCCCGUCAGGGUGAUGGAGAGUUGAAGAUGAGUCUUUAAUGUCAUACCUCCCUGGACACCCCA
rnacentral:rRNA from 1 species